UUCGAAUGAAUAUAUUUAAAUGGACUCGUUAUUAUGGACACCAAAAAAUUGUUUGUUGAUUUUUCUUUCAGUUUGCAGACCUCCACCUCCAAUACUUUAUGGACAUGAAACUUUGGUUUCUUU
rnacentral:sRNA from 1 species